CCCUCCUCCGCGCCCCGGGCCGCGGUGGGGCCGGGAGCGCGGAUUUCUGCGCGGAGAGGGGACCGCGGGUGGGUCCGGGCUCCGCCGGCGCUGCGGGAACGGAGCCGAGGCCCGGGAGAGCCGCCAGGAGCCGGGAAAAGUCCGGGCUGAAGUUCCUGUUCUGCCUGAUUCGCAGCGAGGACUUUGAGCAGAGGCUCCAAAAUCCCGGCCUGGGCUGUGCUCACGCCACAGCCGCUCCCGGUGGCACCACCAGGGACACGGUCCCCGGGCCUCUGCCCCGCUCGGGGGGCUGGAACUGCUGCUCCAAGCGGGACCUGACCCCUCCUGGGCUCGCUGGAAUGCGAGGGACGCUCUAAAGGAAAACCCCGAAGGUCUCUGCGCAAUCCCUUGGGGCUGGGCCCCGAUUUCUGUCGGGGUUGUGCGUGGCCGCAGAGCCAUGAGGGAAGAUGGGAGGAGUGAGGCAGAGGCUGGAAAAGGAAACAAAACCUCCAAAGUCUCUGCGGGGCUGGAAAAGGAAACAAAACCUCCAAAGUCUCCGCGGGGCUGGAGGGCUCCGAUGGCACCCGGGGGUGGCAGGGAAAUAAAAUGUACCUUGAUUUUUC